CCUGGCUCAGGAUGAACGCUAGCUACAGGCUUAACACAUGCAAGUCGAGGGGCAGCAUGGUCUUAGCUUGCUAAGGCCGAUGGCGACCGGCGCACGGGUGAGUAACACGUAUCCAACCUGCCGUCUACUCUUGGACAGCCUUCUGAAAGGAAGAUUAAUACAAGAUGGCAUCAUGAGUCCGCAUGUUCACAUGAUUAAAGGUAUUCCGGUAGACGAUGGGGAUGCGUUCCAUUAGAUAGUAGGCGGGGUAACGGCCCACCUAGUCUUCGAUGGAUAGGGGUUCUGAGAGGAAGGUCCCCCACAUUGGAACUGAGACACGGUCCAAACUCCUACGGGAGGCAGCAGUGAGGAAUAUUGGUCAAUGGGCGAGAGCCUGAACCAGCCAAGUAGCGUGAAGGAUGACUGCCCUAUGGGUUGUAAACUUCUUUUAUAAAGGAAUAAAGUCGGGUAUGGAUACCCGUUUGCAUGUACUUUAUGAAUAAGGAUCGGCUAACUCCGUGCCAGCAGCCGCGGUAAUACGGAGGAUCCGAGCGUUAUCCGGAUUUAUUGGGUUUAAAGGGAGCGUAGAUGGAUGUUUAAGUCAGUUGUGAAAGUUUGCGGCUCAACCGUAAAAUUGCAGUUGAUACUGGAUAUCUUGAGUGCAGUUGAGGCAGGCGGAAUUCGUGGUGUAGCGGUGAAAUGCUUAGAUAUCACGAAGAACUCCGAUUGCGAAGGCAGCCUGCUAAGCUGCAACUGACAUUGAGGCUCGAAAGUGUGGGUAUCAAACAGGAUUAGAUACCCUGGUAGUCCACACGGUAAACGAUGAAUACUCGCUGUUUGCGAUAUACAGCAAGCGGCCAAGCGAAAGCGUUAAGUAUUCCACCUGGGGAGUACGCCGGCAACGGUGAAACUCAAAGGAAUUGACGGGGGCCCGCACAAGCGGAGGAACAUGUGGUUUAAUUCGAUGAUACGCGAGGAACCUUACCCGGGCUUAAAUUGCAGAUGAAUUACGGUGAAAGCCGUAAGCCGCAAGGCAUCUGUGAAGGUGCUGCAUGGUUGUCGUCAGCUCGUGCCGUGAGGUGUCGGCUUAAGUGCCAUAACGAGCGCAACCCUUGUUGUCAGUUACUAACAGGUUCCGCUGAGGACUCUGACAAGACUGCCAUCGUAAGAUGUGAGGAAGGUGGGGAUGACGUCAAAUCAGCACGGCCCUUACGUCCGGGGCUACACACGUGUUACAAUGGGGGGUACAGAGGGCCGCUACCACGCGAGUGGAUGCCAAUCCCCAAAACCUCUCUCAGUUCGGACUGGAGUCUGCAACCCGACUCCACGAAGCUGGAUUCGCUAGUAAUCGCGCAUCAGCCACGGCGCGGUGAAUACGUUCCCGGGCCUU
rnacentral:rRNA from 1 species